UAGAUGGCCCCCAAACCAUUAGCACCGUUAGCAAGGAGACUGUUCAAAGGAGUAGUACUACUUGAAGUUGCAGGUGUGCUAGAUUUCAGGAACAGAAUGAACAACAUGCUUCCCUCUGUCCUGGAAGUUUAUUACAAGUCCAACGAAUAUGCUGGGGUUUAUGGGAUUC